rnacentral:rRNA from 1 species
AGCGUAUAUUAAAGUUGUUGCAGUUAAAAAGCUCGUAGUUGGAUUUCGGGGCAGCCUGGCUGGUCCGCCGCAAGGCGAGUACUGGUCAGCCGCCCUUCCUCUCGAAAGCCCCGACUGCUCUUUAUUGUAGUGGUCGGGUAGUUCGGGACGUUUACUUUGAAAAAAUUAGAGUGUUCAAGGCAGGCCUACGCCUGAAUACAUUAGCAUGGAAUAAUGGAAGAGGACCUCGGUCCUAUUUUGUUGGUUUCCAGGGCCGAAGUAAUGAUUAAGAGGGACAGUUGGGGGCAUUCGUAUUUAAUUGUCAGAGGUGAAAUUCUCGGAUUUAUGAAAGACGAACAACUGCGAAAGCAUUUGCCAAGGAUGUUUUCAUUAAUCAAGAACGAAAGUUAGGGGUUCGAAGACGAUCAGAUACCGUCGUAGUCCUAACCAUAAACUAUGCCGACUAGGGAUCGGUGGAUGUUAGCGUUUGACUCCAUCGGCACCUUAUGAGAAAUCAAAGUCUUUGGGUUCCGGGGGGAGUAUGGUCGCAAGGCUGAAACUUAAAGGAAUU